UACGUAGGGGGCCAGCGUUGUUCGGAAUUACUGGGUGUAAAGGGUUCGUAGGCGGUGCGGCAAGUUGGGAGUGAAAUCUCUGGGCUCAACCCAGAGACGGCUUCCAAAACUGCUGUGCUUGAGUGUGAGAGAGGCUCGUGGAAUUGCAGGUGUAGCGGUGAAAUGCGUAGAUAUCUGCAGGAACACCCGUGGCGAAAGCGGCGAGCUGGAUCACUACUGACGCUGAAGAACGAAAGCUAGGGGGAGCAAAACAGG
rnacentral:rRNA from 1 species